rnacentral:rRNA from 1 species
AACGAACGCUGGCGGCGCGCUUAAUACAUGCAAGUCGAACGAGAAGGUGUAGCAAUACACUUGUAAAGUGGCGAACGGGUGAGGAAUACAUGGGUAACCUACCCUCGAGUGGGGAACAACCAGCCGAAAGGUUGGCUAAUACCGCGUACGCUUCCGGAUCUUCGGAUUCGGAAGGAAAGUCAUACCGUGGGUAUGACGCUCAAGGAUGGGCUCAUGUCCUAUCAGCUUGUUGGUAGGGUAACGGCCUACCAAGGCUCCGACGGGUAGCUGGUCUGAGAGGACGAUCAGCCACACUGGCACUGCGACACGGGCCAGACUCCUACGGGAGGCAGCAGUAAGGAAUAUUGCGCAAUGGGCGAAAGCCUGACGCAGCGACGCCGCGUGGGGGAGUGAAGGUCGUUCGG